CCACUAUCUCUCCUGAAUUCAGCUGGGAGAGCUCUCACUCCAAAUACUGCUUGGUGCUGGGUUAUGUUAUUUCCUGCUCAGAAAUCUUUCCUAUUGCCUAGCAAAUUGAAAAUAUUCAACUAUUAAGGCAUUUAAAGCACUUUAAAAUAUGCUCUCAAUCAGCUUAGGUACUCUUAUCUCUGACUACUUACCUAAACAGUUCCUAAGCCUUGAUCAAAUUGGCCAGCUUACUGCAUUUUAUCUUCAUAUCCCCCACAGCUUUGGAUGGUAUACUCAUUUGGACAGAAGGUUUCAAAAGAAAGAAGAAGAGAGAGAGGAGAAAAGAAGAAAAGAAAAGAAAAGAAAAGAAAGAAAAGAAAAGAGAAAUGAAAAAAAAAAUAGGAAAACAGAUUCCAGCAUGAUCACAAACAAAACAUCUGACAACUCAAAAAAGUAUCUCCAUGUGUUUCCACACAUGGACCAAUUUGGACUGGAAUGAAAAGUGUGAGCUACCACAAACAGUUCCUCUUCAGAUUCUCUUGGUUCCCGUCCCGGUUUACCUGGGCAUGAUUUGAGCCAUCUUUGAACCACAGAGGAAUGCUUGAGUGCAAAAGAUUUCUCAAGACCUAUUCAGCCAUGCAAUUGCUUGCACACUGCUGGGUUAGGGUCUCCAUGAUCAAGCUGGUCUCAGCAAGUGGUGCCCAUAUGUGGGGCUCGAACCUGGGUUGGAGGGUCGCUGGAGCAACGGUUGGAGAACGUGGAACUAAGCUGGAGGACACCCAUACACUCUUAAGCAAUCCCAGUGGUGAGUAAGAAGGGGAGCUUGGAAGCAUCAGGGUAACAAUGGGACAAGUGUGGGCUUUGGUUUGUUCCACCUUGGAACCUUUUCACACUAAUGAUGAGGAGGAAGGAAAGUAUAAUAAAGUAACAGAAGAAGUAACAGAACAGGUUUGUUUGCCAGCUAAAGCUAAAGUGGCAAAGGAGGGAGAGGUUCAUCCCUACCCUUCUGCACCCCAUCCUUAUUUUGAAGAAAAAGAGUCGCCUGACUCUCCAGAUCUUUC
rnacentral:lncRNA from 1 species